CCGGCUGUGCUGACCCCUGCGAAUUUCCCAAAUGUGGAAAUCUCGAUUGCAUAAUUUAUGGUAGUGGGGGACUGCGUUUGCGCUCGCCCCUG
rnacentral:snRNA from 8 species